rnacentral:sRNA from 1 species
CCGAGGCAUGACAAAACGGAAGUAAGCCCUGGAACACCCUAAACUGCCAGAAAGGGAGACAGACUUUUUCCAAAGUGCCCACCGGAAGACAAAAGAGAGCUUGGCAGUACACUUCCGGUCAAAUCUGUGUCUCCUCUCCCAGACCCUCUGAAAGAAGAGUACCAUGGUCCACGCUACGUACGAUCUCGGUGCGGGUAGAGGCAGGUGGAUCCCCGGCAGGCCCAUCCAUCUGAUUUGCUGUCAUACAGAUACUCCAACAAAGGCUACUUAGGGGAGAAAGGGAAAGUUCCAGAAUUCAGUACAACAUCGUGUUGGGGAAGUCAAGGCAGAAGGGACCUGAAGGUGCUCACGACACAGCCACAAUCAGAAACUGGGCUGGGAGCUGAGGCUCUGGAGUUCUGGGACAUUUUUUUCCACAAGCCCAAAGCUUGUAAUAAAGGUGAUAAAAUAAAACCAAAGACCUACCCAGCAAAAGAGACCGGCAGAUUUAGUUUUCUUUUUCUC